rnacentral:rRNA from 1 species
GAUGAACGCUAGCGGCAGGCCUAACACAUGCAAGUCGAGGGGUAGAACACUUCGGUGUUUGAGACCGGCGCACGGGUGCGUAACGCGUAUGCAAUCUACCUUGUACAGGGGAAUAGCCCAGAGAAAUUUGGAUUAAUGCCCCAUAGUAUAUAACCUUCGCAUGUUGGUUAUAUUAAAGUUCCAACGGUACAAGAUGAGCAUGCGUCCCAUUAGUUAGUUGGUAAGGUAACGGCUUACCAAGACGAUGAUGGGUAGGGGUCCUGAGAGGGAGGUCCCCCACCAUGUGAUGGAGACACGGAACAAAGUCCUACGGGAGGCAGCAGUGGGGAAUAUUGGUCAAUGGGCGCAAGCCUGAACCAGCCAUGCGGCGUGCAGGAAGACGGUCCUAUGGAUUGUAAACUGCUUUUAUACAGGAAGAAACCCUCCCACGUGUGGGAGAUUGACGGUACUGUAGGAAUAAGGAUCGGCUAACUCCGUGCCAGCCGCCGCCGUAAAAC